rnacentral:rRNA from 1 species
GACGAACGCUGGCGGCGUGCUUAACACAUGCAAGUCGAACGGUGAAGCGCCUUCCUUUUUGGUGGGUGUGGAUGAGUGGCGAACGGGUGAGUAACACGUGAGUAACCUGCCCCCUUCUUCUGGAUAACCGCAUGAAAGUGUGGCUAAUACGGGAUAUUCUGGGUCUGUCGCAUGAUGGGUCUGGGAAAGAUAAUGUUUCGGUGGGGGAUGGGCUCGCGGCCUAUCAGCUUGUUGGUGGGGUGAUGGCCUACCAAGGCGGUGACGGGUAGCCGGCCUGGGAGGGUGGACGGGCACACUGGAGGUGAGACACGGCCCAGACUCCUACGAGAGGCAGCAGUGGGGAAUACGGGACAAUGGGGGCACGGCUGAUGCAGAGUCGCCGGGUGAGGGAUGGAGGCCUUCGGGUUGUGAACAUCUGUCGCCAGGGAAGCAGGGCUGCAUCGUGUGUGAGUGGGUUGACAGUAACUGGAUAAGAAGCGCCGGCUAACUACGUG